AUUGAACGCUGGCGGCAGGCCUAACACAUGCAAGUCGAGCGAGCGGCGGACGGGUGAGUAAUGUAUGGGAUUUGCCCGGAAGAGGGGGAUAACUAAUGGAAAAGGUGGCUAAUACCCGACACUUUCGGAUGGACCCAUAUGGGAUUGGCUAGUAGGUUGGGUAAAGGCUCAACUAGGCCACGAUCCCUAGCUGGUCUGAGAGGAUGAUCAGCCACACUGGGACUGAGAAACGGCCCAGACUCCUACGGGAGGCAGCAGUGGGGAAUAUUGCACAAUGGGCGCAAGCCUGAUGCAGCCAUGCCGCGUGUAUGAAGAAGGCCUUAGGGUUGUAAAGUACUUUCAGCGGGGAGGCGUUACCCGCAGAAGAAGCACCGGCUAACUCCGUGCCAGCCGCCGCGGUAAUAC
rnacentral:rRNA from 1 species